AGAAGUUUAGGUUAAACCAAACCAAAGGCCUUCAAAGCCUUAAACAUGAGCCACCAGCCUCGUAACCUCUG
rnacentral:tRNA from 1 species